UACGAAGGGAGCUAGCGUUGUUCGGAAUCACUGGGCGUAAAGCGCACGUAGGCGGAUGUGUCAGUCAGGGGUGAAAUCCCGGAGCUCAACUUCGGAACUGCCUUUGAUACAGCACAUCUGGAGUCCGGAAGAGGUGGGUGGAAUUCCUAGUGUAGAGGUGAAAUUCGUAGAUAUUAGGAAGAACACCGGUGGCGAAGGCGGCCCCCUGGUUGGAUACUGACGCUGAGACGCGAAAGCGUGGGGAGCAAACAGGAUUAGA
rnacentral:rRNA from 1 species